rnacentral:rRNA from 1 species
UACGGGGGGGGCAAGCGUUGUUCGGAAUUACUGGGCGUAAAGGGCUCGUAGGCGGCCAACUAAGUCGGAUGUGAAAUCCCUCGGCUCAACCGAGGACGUGCAUCGGAAACUGCGGGGCUUGAGUACUGAAGAGGAUCGCGGAAUUCCCGGUGUAGAGGUGAAAUUCGUAGAUAUCGGGAGGAACACCAGUGGCGAAGGCGGCGAUCUGGGAAGAUACUGACGCUGAGGUGCGAAAGCGUGGGGAGCAAACAGG